rnacentral:rRNA from 1 species
GACGUAGGGCGCGAGCGUUGUCCGGAUUUAUUGGGCGUAAAGAGCUCGUAGGCGGUGUGUCGCGUCGGCCGUGAAAACCUGGGGCUCAACUCUGGGCGUGCGGUCGAUACGGGCAUCACUUGAGUUCGGCAGGGGAGACUGGAAUUCCUGGUGUAGCGGUGAAAUGCGCAGAUAUCAGGAGGAACACCGGUGGCGAAGGCGGGUCUCUGGGCCGAUACUGACGCUGAGGAGCGAAAGCAUGGGUAGCGAACAGG